AGCCGGGUCCUGCACAAUGGCUGCCUGCGAACCCCGUCAGGUCCGGAAGGAAGCAGCGGUAGCGGGAUCUCCCAUGUGCUGCAGGUCAGCCCGGCUAUC
rnacentral:SRP_RNA from 1 species